GAAAAUGAAAAAACUAAGGUAUUAUUUUAUACUCUGGUAUCUGCCAACUUUUAAUCUUUGUAAUUCAAUUCCAUUUAUAAUUCAACUGAAGGUGAAUUCUUACAUUGAGAAGAAGAAAAUGAAAUCAGGAUAAAAGCAAGAACUUUGUUUUUGCAUAAAUAUGCUAAUGAAAAACUGGAGAAAAAAAUUCCUGCCACCAAUGGAAUUACAGUUGGAAAAUCCAUCUAAGAAAGACAGUUAAACUUCUCACCUUCCAGAAAUGAAGACAGGAUCUCCUUCUGUGCCAGGCUGGAGCACAGUGGCACAAUCAUGGCUCACUGCAACCCCCCUGAGCUCAAGCAAUCCUACUGCUUCAGCCUCCCAAGUAGCUGAGACUACAGGUGUGUACCACCACAUCCAGGUAAUUUUUCUAUUUUUUUAGAGACGAAGUCUCUCUAUGUUGCCCAGGGUGGUCUCGAACUCCUGGACUCAAGAGAUCUGCCUGUCUUGUCCUCCUGAAGUGCUGGCAUUACAGGCGUGAGUUACCACUUCUUCCCGCUUUCACCUUUUCCCAUCCUAAAAUAUCCUUCGUCAUUUGCCUCUGAAAGAGAGGUUCCUGGACCAACAACCUAACUGAGAGCUUGUUAGAAAUGAAGACUCUCAGACACCAUCUCAAAGCUAGUGAAUGGGAAUCUGCAUUUGAAUAAGAUCCACAGUAAAGUUUGAGACAUAGUAACUUAGGCCAUUUCACAGGCUACCUCCUUGAGGAAUCCGAAAUCUUUUAAUAUCCCUGUAAUGAGACAACGUUUUUCCUCUUUUGAACUCUUCAUUCAUUCUUUGCUGGUACUUCUCUCUGGGCACUUUAUUUCACCUUGAAUUGUGGUUAAUUAUGCACAAGACUUAGUUUUCCUGUUAGGUUGUGAGGUCUUUGAAGGCAGUAACAGUGGAAUCUCCACUUUGAUGAAUUAGUUGGCUUGGGAACAUUCACACACACACAUACAUACACGCACCCAAAUCUAGGUGGUACUGGUGUUUUAGUUGAUCCUCAGAAUUUUGCAAGGAUUCAAAUAUAAAUUGACUUUCAAAUGUGAAUGCCAUGCAUGGGCAAGAUCUGUUGCAAUUAUUUUUACUUAAUAAAACAAGCAUACAACUAUUAUUUUAUGUCAUGAAAGUCUUUAAUAUAAUUUUCUUUUCUUUUCUUUUCUUUUUUUAGAGACAGAAUUCCACUUUUGUUGCCCAGGCUGGAGUGCAAUGGCCUGAUCUCGGCUCACCUCAACCUCCGCCUCUCAGGUUCAAGAGAUUCUCCUGCCUUAGCCUCCAGAGUAGCUGGGAUUAUAGGCACGCGCCACCACGCCUGGCUAAUUUUGUAUUUUUAGUAGAGAUGGGGUUUCUCCAUGUUUGUCAGGCUGGUCUCAAACUCCCCGCCUCAGGUAAUCCACCCUCCUCAGCCUCCCAAAGUGCUGGGAUUACAGGCGUGAGCCACUGAGCCUGACUAAUAUAACUUUCUUUACCUUUGUCUGGUGCUGUGUGAUAAGAUUAUAUCUUCAUCUGUAAAUUGCAGAGUAGGAAGAGGGCUAGCCUAAAUUAUUUAAAAACAGCUGGUUACCUGUAACAUUCUAUAAAAA
rnacentral:lncRNA from 10 species